GGGGAGGAAGGGAGUAAAGUUAAUACCUUUGCUCAUUGACGUUACCCGCAGAAGAAGCACCGGCUAACUCCGUGCCAGCAGCCGCGGUAAUACGGAGGGUGCAAGCGUUAAUCGGAAUUACUGGGCGUAAAGCGCACGCAGGCGGUUUGUUAAGUCAGAUGUGAAAUCCCCGGGCUCAACCUGGGAACUGCAUCUGAUACUGGCAAGCUUGAGUCUCGUAGAGGGGGGUAGAAUUCCAGGUGUAGCGGUGAAAUGCGUAGAGAUCUGGAGGAAUACCGGUGGCGAAGGCGGCCCCCUGGACGAAGACUGACGCUCAGGUG
rnacentral:rRNA from 1 species